CUGUCUUGAAGUGUUCUUGAAGGAGUUAAGGGGGAGAAGGCCUGGCCUACAAUACUCACAAUACAUACUUCUCAUUCAGACUAAACUUACACCAUUUUAAAAAAUAUAACCUAUGUGAGAACUUCCUGUUUACAGCAGUCUUAGCUAAAUUAUUCAAGUCACCUCCAUACCCUACCCUUCACAGCUAAAAACAAUGAAAAAGGAUGGACAUAUUUAAAAAUCUCUAGAAAUACUGAAGUUUCUGGAGAUUAAAUAAAAUAAUCCUACAAUAAAAUAGUAAGAAAUUUUCAAGCUAAACACAAAAGGAAAAUGAGAGCCCAUAGAUGAAAUCAAGGAAGAAGCCACUUUAGCCUUGAGGUUAUUUUAGGAUCUCAGAAAAUUAGAAUCUUUCUUUUGUUAGGCUUGAGAACCACAAGAACAAGAACCAAAGUCCAGAGUUUGCUGGAGCUGGGACAUCAAGUCCAUGAGCCCCCUUGCAAUGGACUGAGUGCUCAAAGGGCUACAGCCUGCAGAGGAAGAAUCCAAAAGUUUUCCAAUGUAUUGUCAUUAUUAGGCCCCUUAACCAAAGGUCUGUAUUCAUGA
rnacentral:lncRNA from 1 species